CUCUGGUACCCAAAGGGAUGCUGUGGGUGCAGGUAGUAUUCCUGGUACCCAUAGGGAUGGUGUGGGUACACGGAGCAUCUGGUACCCAAAGGGAUGCUGUGGGUACAGGUGGUAACAAAGGGAUGCUGUUGGUGAAGAUGGUACCCAAAGGGAUGCUGUGGAUACAGAGAGCAUCUGGUACCCAAAGGGAUGCUGCGGGUACAGGUAGUAUCCCCGGUACCCAAAGGGAUGCUGUAGGUGCAGGUGGUGCCCAAAGGGAUGCUGUGGGUGCAGGUGGCAUCCCUGGUAUCCAAAAGGAUGUUGUCGGUGCAGGUAGUAUCCCUGGUGCCCAAAGGGAUGCUGUGGGUGCAGGUAGUAUCCCUGGUACCCAAAGGGAUGCUGUAGGUGCAGGUGGUGCCCAAAGGGAUGCUGUGGGUGCAGGUGGCAUCCCUGGUAUCCAAAAGGAUGCUAUGGGUGCAGGUAGUAUUCCUGGUAUCCAAAGGGAUGCUGUGGGUGCAGG
rnacentral:lncRNA from 1 species